rnacentral:rRNA from 1 species
UACGUAGGGGGCGAGCGUUGUCCGGAAUUACUGGGCGUAAAGGGUGCGCAGGCGGCCGAUUAAGUCAGAUGUGAAAUACCACGGCUCAACUGUGGGGGUGCAUUUGAAACUGGUUGGCUUGAGUGCAGGAGAGGAAAGUGGAAUUCCUAGUGUAGCGGUGAAAUGCGUAGAGAUUAGGAGGAACACCAGUGGCGAAGGCGACUUUCUGGACUGUAACUGACGCUGAGGCACGAAAGCGUGGGGAGCAAACAGGAUUAGAUACCCUGUA